UAGUCCACGCCGUAAACGAUGAUCACUAGAUGUGGGUUAUGUUUUGCAUAAUCCGUGUCGAAGCUAACGCGUUAAGUGAUCCGCCUGGGGAGUACGAUCGCAAGAUUAAAACUCAAAGAAAUUGACGGGGGUCCGCACAAGCGGUGGAACAUGUGGUUUAAUUCGACACUACGCGAGGAACCUUACCUAGGAUUGACAUGUAACUGACCGCUGUAGAAAUACAGUCUUUCGGGGAAACUCGAACAGUUACACAGGUGCUGCAUGGCUGUCGUCAGCUCGUGUCGUGAGAUGUUGGGUUAAGUCCUUUAACGAGCGCAACCCUUGCUGUUAGUUGCUACAUUUAGUUGAGCACUCUAGCAGGACUGCCUGGGGAACCAGGAGGAAGGUGGGGACGAGGUCAAGUCAUCAUGGCCCUUAUACCUAGGGCUACACACGUGUUACAAUGGCUAGUACAAAGGGAUGCAAUACCGUGAGGUGGAGCAAACCUCAAAAAGCUAGUCUAAGUUCGGAUU
rnacentral:rRNA from 1 species